GGGGUCGACCGGAUUUGACAGCAAGACUAAGUGAUAUGUAAGCAUGUCGAGCAUUGAUUCACAGCUCGUAAAUAUUGGAUUCAAAAGUUAAAUGGCGAAAAUAACUACGCUCUAGCUGCAUAAUAAACCGAAUUAUAGUAAGUUUUUGCUAAGUCCUAACAAGGUUAGGAAGUUAGAUGUCUCUUAAUAGCCGUUGUUGACGGCGAUUAAUAUAGAGGCACCAUAAAAGUCAACAUUAAAGUAAAAAUGUGUCAGUUUUACUUGAAAAUUUAGACACUAAGGUUUUAGUAGAUUGUUUUCUUUCAGCUAUUACUCGAAAAUUAAUUGAAAACUAAGCAUGUAGAAGGCGUAUUAUUUACUUGUUUGGACGAGGGUUCGAUUCCCUCCGACUCCACCA
rnacentral:tmRNA from 1 species